GAGUUUGAUCAUGGCUCAGAUUGAACGCUGGCGGCAGGCCUAACACAUGCAAGUCGAACGGUAACAGGAAGCAGCUUGCUGCUUCGCUGACGAGUGGCGGACGGGUGAGUAAUGUCUGGGAAGCUGCCUGAUGGAGGGGGAUAACUACUGGAAACGGUAGCUAAUACCGCAUAAUGUCGCAAGACCAAAGAGGGGGACCUUCGGGCCUCUUGCCAUCGGAUGUGCCCAGAUGGGAUUAGCUUGUUGGUGGGGUAACGGCUCACCAAGGCGACGAUCCCUAGCUGGUCUGAGAGGAUGACCAGCCACACUGGAACUGAGACACGGUCCAGACUCCUACGGGAGGCAGCAGUGGGGAAUAUUGCACAAUGGGCGCAAGCCUGAUGCAGCCAUGCCGCGUGUAUGAAGAAGGCCUUCGGGUUGUAAAGUACUUUCAGCGGGGAGGAAGGGAGUAAAGUUAAUACCUUUGCUCAUUGACGUUACCCGCAGAAGAAGCACCGGCUAACUCCGUGCCAGCAGCCGCGGUAAUACGGAGGGUGCAAGCGUUAAUCGGAAUUACUGGGCGUAAAGCGCACGCAGGCGGUUUGUUAAGUCAGAUGUGAAAUCCCCGGGCUCAACCUGGGAACUGCAUCUGAUACUGGCAAGCUUGAGUCUCGUAGAGGGGGGUAGAAUUCCAGGUGUAGCGGUGAAAUGCGUAGAGAUCUGGAGGAAUACCGGUGGCGAAGGCGGCCCCCUGGACGAAGACUGACGCUCAGGUGCGAAAGCGUGGGGAGCAAACAGGAUUAGAUACCCUGGUAGUCCACGCCGUAAACGAUGUCGACUUGGAGGUUGUGCCCUUGAGGCGUGGCUUCCGGAGCUAACGCGUUAAGUCGACCGCCUGGGGAGUACGGCCGCAAGGUUAAAACUCAAAUGAAUUGACGGGGGCCCGCACAAGCGGUGGAGCAUGUGGUUUAAUUCGAUGCAACGCGAAGAACCUUACCUGGUCUUGACAUCCACGGAAGUUUUCAGAGAUGAGAAUGUGCCUUCGGGAACCGUGAGACAGGUGCUGCAUGGCUGUCGUCAGCUCGUGUUGUGAAAUGUUGGGUUAAGUCCCGCAACGAGCGCAACCCUUAUCCUUUGUUGCCAGCGGUCCGGCCGGGAACUCAAAGGAGACUGCCAGUGAUAAACUGGAGGAAGGUGGGGAUGACGUCAAGUCAUCAUGGCCCUUACGACCAGGGCUACACACGUGCUACAAUGGCGCAUACAAAGAGAAGCGACCUCGCGAGAGCAAGCGGACCUCAUAAAGUGCGUCGUAGUCCGGAUUGGAGUCUGCAACUCGACUCCAUGAAGUCGGAAUCGCUAGUAAUCGUGGAUCAGAAUGCCACGGUGAAUACGUUCCCGGGCCUUGUACACACCGCCCGUCACACCAUGGGAGUGGGUUGCAAAAGAAGUAGGUAGCUUAACCUUCGGGAGGGCGCUUACCACUUUGUGAUUCAUGACUGGGGUGAAGUCGGAACAAGGUA
rnacentral:rRNA from 1 species